GAUGAACGCUGGCGGCGUGCUUAAUACAUGCAAGUCGAACGGAGGUAUGUAGCAAUACGUAUCUUAGUGGCGAACGGGUGAGUAACGCGUUGGUGACCUACCCCAGAGAGGGGGAUAACAGUUCGAAAGGACUGCUAAUACCCCAUGUGGUCAUGGUAGUUAGAGAGCCAUGACUAAAGGUGCAAACCGCUCUGGGAGGGGCCUGCGUCCCAUCAGCUAGUUGGUAGGGUAACGGCCUACCAAGGCGACGACGGGUAGGGGGCCUGAGAGGGUGAUCCCCCACACUGGCACUGAAACACGGGCCAGACACCUACGGGUGGCUG
rnacentral:rRNA from 1 species